rnacentral:lncRNA from 1 species
GUGUCUGUACCUGUCUUGUCUCCACACCCAGAUGGCAGACAAGUGUUCUCAUUUACUGUCUGGGGACAUGUGAGAACUCGUCAUUAAAAUUUUACAUGGCGCUCUUGGCCGCUAGGAAGGAAAUGAGGCGCUUGAAUGCUUCAGGCCUGUCAGAAAUGUUCAAACUGGCUCAAGCGCCCAGUGACGUAUGAGCUGCUCCCUCCGUGCACAGGCCGGAGGAGGAUGUUGUGGCCAAUGCUCCAGACAAAAUGAUUUCGCCAUCGCUCACUUUUUCCAUAGCUUCUGUGUCCUCACUCCAUUAGACGGGAGGGAAAAACUUGUCAUUGAAUUAGAUGAUGACAACCACGUGAUUAAGUCGAGUCGAAAUGUGAGACACGCAUCAGUGACUCCUACUCACCUCGGCAGAGGGAGGGGCAGCAAAAGAAGCCCGGCAAGAAGAGUGUGUCGAGCUACACAAAGCUGGUAACAACAUCUCAGAACCUUCACGACCCUUCACGCGCUCGCAGCGGACUGUCAUGGCGGACACAGCAAGAACCUCCGUCAGCCACAGAGACAGCCAGACCAACGGGAUGGAAAGGACCGAGGGCGCCUGCUACAGCCAGUGGUGACGAGGAAGCCCGACUGACGUCAUGGGAGCAGUUUCUGACCACACGCAAGCCCAUCAUUGCUCCUGACGGCUACAUUCCCAACUCUGUGAUCAGAGCUGUCCUUGGGCACGUCACAUCCGGUCAGAGCCACCUGUCCGCGCGUUGCAGGCGGCGCCUCAACCCACCCUCAAGGCGCCUGACCCCAUCGUCGCUGCCCUGUCGUCCAGCCACCUCGCGCCUGCAUCGUCGCACAGAGAGGAAACGACAACUGACGAUCACGGCAACACGACUCACAGAAACAUCCUCCACACAGAAAUGGCUCAAAGUCCAGAAAAAGCCCGAGAUCUGGUAGACGAAGUGCUCAGCGAACACCCAGCGCGAGCGACACAAAGUCUCAGGGAAGACAGGAAGCGAAAAAGAGCUCUGCCGACAUCACAAAGCAGAUGUUGAGGACGAGAACAAGGGCAGACGUGGAGAACAUCACACGGGACGGUGGAAUGUCUUCGCGAAUGGGGGCCUCCAUGUCCAACGAUUCACAGUUUAAGCUCAACAAUGUCUUGGACUACCAGACUGCACACCUUGCAGUCAGUCCUACCAACAAGCCGGCAGGAAAGCCAGACAACAAUAUGAUGAAAACAUGGCUGAAGCAGACUUUUAGAUGCUACAACUGACCCCACAACAACUAUAUCUAAACAGUUUAACUCCAAAGGACUUAACGAUUUUGAAGAUGACAUGCUAGACGUCUGUGAUGACAGAGACAACGGUGACGAAGAACAUCUCAUCUCCAUGAGCUCAUCAUCAGCGAGGAUCACUGACCGCUCCUUGUCACGACACUCAGGUGACACUAGAGGCCAGAGCUUGGAGUUCAGCCACGCAGGAUCGCCGAGACCAUCGGCACGUGACCACCACGUCGUUGUCUUUGAGGAAGGACAUGCAUCAUCUGACUCUGGUAGAGGCACUCUUGGGACGCCGGCUGCCACAACAGACUUCGCCACCCAGGAGUCGCUAGCCGCCCAGCCAGCCGGACAACACACGUCUGCUGAGGUACCAGAAACAUGGAAAAAUUCAUUAGAGAGUGACUCACAAGAGCGGAAAGAAGCAGACACACAAGAGAGGAAUACGAGUAAGACAAGUGACACACAAGAUGGGAGGACGGAUGACACCGAAGAAGGGGACAACUCACGUACAAGUGAGGUUGACAUCUGAUACACUAAACAGACUGACAGCAGGACUCACAAGACAGGGAGACAGGUGAGGCACACGAGGAGACACAUUCCAUAGGAAUUCCAGAAGAAGAUUCCAACAGAGACAAAUACAACUCAGCUGCCAACACAGACAUGAAGACAAGUGUAACAGACUACGCGAGGGAGCAGACCACGUGAUGAUGAUGGGUAGCGAGGCAAAGGAAACCUUUAAAUCACCCCUGAGAAAUCAUCUCAGCCUCUUCUUGAGCAGACAGUCAGCCCCGACCUCUGGACAAGUCAGCCUCCACACCGUUCGCAUCCAUAAGGAACAAGAUUCCUACAUCGGCGAAGGAUUUUGCUAUGACCAUGUGGUAGAGGAUGUCUAUCACCAACCGCUGCUCAAACCUCUACAAAGGAAUGACGUCACAGACCAGGAUGUGGCCAAGACACUUCCGGUACUGUCACGUGGCGCACGCCAUGCACAGUGCAAGAUUCCAGGAGAGAUUGUCUAUCGUCUGUCUCAACCGCAAAGUACACCACAGGUAGCGCCUCGUUUCCACAUGCCUCCGAGAUGGGAGCAACAUCACACAUGCGAGAAUAUUUGAGUCCAGACAUGCGAGCAGACCAUCUGACUCCCGUCAACAGCACGCAGUCACUGGCCCUUGCCUUGCAACCAUCUCGGACACACCAAAGCCUUUGGUCAAAGGAAAAUCCAGUCGGCGUCACGAGGGGCCUGCAGGGGAGGUUACCGGCGCUGGCGUGUCAUGGCGGCCAGGACAUGACGUCGGGCCGUGUCUUGCGCACUGCAGAGUUCGUCCUACAUCCCGGGGGACAACGGGCGUCGGAACCGGAACCAGGGCCAGGACUGAAGGCUGUCGACCCCAUUGUGCGACACCAGCACCAGUGCCAACAUGCACGUCUAGCUCAGAAAAAAAUGCAUCACUACACAUCGAUUUCCAGGUAUCUUGCUAACAAGGAGCUUGUGGAGUCCUUAACUCAUCUCCGAAAACCAUUUUCAUGGACACAUGAGAGGGCGAGAGUGCAUCAGCUGCUGAAGGCGCAGUCCUGAUGUCCGACCUGAUGACAACACGGAGUCAACAACAACAACAACAACAACAACAACAACAACAACAACGCCUUGUCUGCAUCUCCGGCUACCUACACUUGUGUCAGUGUGUCGCACGCUUGUCUUUUACCAUGCCAGAUGUGUCAUGUCAACACCUGUUUCUAGAUGUGUCAUGUCAACUGUUUCUAGAUGUGUUUUGCGAGAUGAUUUACACUCUGCAGACUAAUGAGCCAUUCACCAUUUCUUUGUAAUGUCCAACUCAGCACCGACCUUUCAGCAAGAGCCGUAACUCGCCGCGUAGAUCAACUAAACUAUUUCCAGCGAUGUUUCCAUAUUAUACAACAACAAAUCUAAAUGUGAAGAACUUUAACUUUUCUUGGGGACAUUGACAAGACAGAGUGUGUGUGUGUGUCGGUGUGACCCUCGACAGAUAAUGAAAAUGUGCUGGCAUGUAAAGUGGUCAGAGGCAUCGUGCAUAGCUCAUGAUUCUAGAGAUGAUCAUUUUCUCUCAUAGACCAAUAUUUAUCUUUAAGCUGUGAUUUUUUCUGGUUUGAAAAGAUACUUCGUUUAGUUCCUUUUUAUAUGUAACAGUUAUUGCACAUUGAAAGACUACAGACUAUGACUAGCUGUCAGGAAAACUGAGAUGUUGUCCUCAGCGCUUAGUGCUCUUCAGCGCUGCACAGUACGAC